rnacentral:lncRNA from 1 species
ACUCUGUUGCCCAGGCUGGAGUACAGUGGCAUGAUCCCAGCUCAGCUAACUUCUACCUCCUGAGCUCAAGUGAUCCUCCCACCUCAGCCUACCAGUAGCUGGGAUUACAGGUGGGCACCACCAUGCCUGGCUAAUUUUUGUAUUUUUAGUAGAGACGGGGUUUCACUUUGUUGCCCAGGCUGGUCUCAAACUCCUGGCCUCAAGUGAGCCACCUGCCUUGGCCUCCCAAACUGCUAGGAUUACAGACAUGAGCCACCACACCUGGUCCCCUAGUUGACUUCUUAUGGCUAUACAUUACAUUUGAGAUUAGAGGUAAGCCUCCUGGGGUGAGGCAAGAGGGGAGAUGUGACACCCAGGGAUAAUAUUUCUGCACCAGGAUUCAGGACCUUACCCUGAGACAAAGGUCACAUAUCCCAGGAAGCUGCCCUGUGGAAAACAAAGCAGCCAGUAGCUGGGCCUGAGGAGGAACAGAGGCUGUGAAGCUACAGAAGCUGGACUCAGCCUCACUGGGAGCUACAGAAGCUGGACUCAGCACCACUGGGAGCCAUCUGGAUGGAGAAAUGGGAACUCCAGAAGAGAAUAGCUUCCGCUGCUUCAAAACUGCGUGCAGGAAUCAGAGACGUUACAUCAGGAAGAUACUGCAGAGAUAUUCUACUCCAUCUCAUUCAUUGUACAGGUGAGGAACCAAGGGUCAGAGAUUUUAAGGAAUUUGUCCAAAGCCACAGAGUGGAGAACUGUGAGUAGAACUCAGAUCGCUUGUUGCCUAAUUCAGGUGUUUUCAACCCCUUAUAAAUAUGCUAGGGAGGUGUGGCAUCCACACGAUUUGCUUUCUGGCUGAUGUAUCUCGAUUCCUAGUGCAGAGCUCAGGCAUCAAUUGGUGAACAAGAGGAAGAGAUAGAUGUGGCUCUAUCUAUCUAGUAUAUGGGAGCAGCAUGUGACAUUGUGAUGAGAUGUGUUAGCACAGGCACAAUUUAAAGCAGUGCCAUGGCAACCGGCAUUCACUCUGGCUCCAGAUAACACCGUGAACUACAGGGUGUAGUUGAAAAUGGCUUCUCACUUAGUGAGUGGAAUGUUCCAGCCUCUUGUCCUGCAGUGAGUGACUCUGAAAUCUACCAAACAAUGUAGCAACAAGACUGGUUCAGGUUAUUUACCAAGGGUUGGGGGUUUUCAGCAUAACUCACAGGAGAAAUAAACUCAGCAGCCUUGGGAAUCCCCAAGAAUUACUGUGCCUAUCUGCAAAGCAGUAUGGGUUUGCUUCCUCUGAGCAAUGCAUUGUUUCAGUGUCUUCCCAGAGCACUAUUAUUUCGAAGAGGUGCCCUGGGCAUGAGGGGAAGGUAAUGGGGAAGGGCACCAUUUGUUUCUUUCUUACAUAUGCAGAAUCUGCUGCUACCCUCCCCACAAAUUCUUUUUUUUUUUUUUUUUUGAGACAGGG